rnacentral:rRNA from 1 species
UACGUAGGUGGCAAGCGUUGUCCGGAUUUACUGGGCGUAAAGGGCGUGCAGGCGGUCUGUUAAGUGCAGGGUGAAAGCUCCCGGCUCAACUGGGAGAGGUCCUUGCAUACUGGCGGACUUGAGGGGGGUAGAGGGGACUGGAAUACUUGGUGUAGCAGUGAAAUUCGUAGAUAUUCGGAAGAACACCAGUGGCGAAGGCGGCAUCCUGGACCGACAUUGACGCUGAACGGCGAAAGCGUGGGGAGCAAACAGG